GGUCCCUAUCUGCCGUGGGCGCUGGAGAACUGAGGGGGGCUGCUCCUAGUACGAGAGGACCGGAGUGGACGCAUCACUGGUGUUCGGGUUGUCAUGCCAAUGGCACUGCCCGGUAGCUAAAUGCGGAAGAGAUAAGUGCUGAAAGCAUCUAAGCACGAAACUUGCCCCGAGAUGAGUUCUCCCUGACUCUUUAAGGGUCCUGAAGGAACGUUGAAGACGACGACGUUGAUAGGCCGGGUGUGUAAGCGCAGCGAUGCGUUGAGCUAACCGGUACUAAUGAACCGUGAGGCUUAACCUUACAACGCCGAAG
rnacentral:rRNA from 1 species